UUAAAUUGAAGAGUUUGAUCAUGGCUCAGAUUGAACGCUGGCGGCAGGCCUAACACAUGCAAGUCGAACGGUAACAGGAAGCAGCUUGCUGCUUUGCUGACGAGUGGCGGACGGGUGAGUAAUGUCUGGGAAACUGCCUGAUGGAGGGGGAUAACUACUGGAAACGGUGGCUAAUACCGCAUAACGUCGCAAGACCAAAGAGGGGGACCUUCGGGCCUCUUGCCAUCAGAUGUGCCCAGAUGGGAUUAGCUUGUUGGUGAGGUAACGGCUCACCAAGGCG
rnacentral:rRNA from 1 species